rnacentral:rRNA from 1 species
CCAGCAGCCGCGGUAAUUCCAGCUCCAAUAGCGUAUAUUUAAGUUGCUGCAGUUAAAAUGCUCGUAGUUGGAUUUCGGGUGGGAAUGGCCGGUCCGCCGUUUCGGUGUGCACUUGCUACGCCCACCUUGCUGCCGGGGACGUGCUCUUGAGUUCACGCUCGGGACACGGAGUCGGCGAGGUUACUUUGAGGAAAUUAGAGUGUUUCAAGCAGGCUUUCGCCUUGAAUAAUUUAGCAUGGAAUAAUAAUUUAGGACUUCGGUUCUAUUUCGUUGGUUUCUAGAACUGAAGUAAUGAUUAAUAGGGACAGUCGGGGGCAUUCGUACUCAACAGUCAGAGGUGAAAUUCUUGGAUUUGUUGGAGACGAACUACUGCGAAAGCAUUUGCCAAGGAUGUUUUCAUUGAUCAAGAACGAAAGU